rnacentral:rRNA from 1 species
UACGAAGGGUGCAAGCGUUACUCGGAAUUACUGGGCGUAAAGCGUGCGUAGGUGGUGAGUUAAGUCUGUCGUGAAAGCCCCGGGCUCAACCUGGGAAUGGCGAUGGAUACUGGCUCGCUAGAGUGCGGUAGAGGAGAGUGGAAUUCCCGGUGUAGCAGUGAAAUGCGUAGAGAUCGGGAGGAACAUCAGUUGCGAAAGCGGCUUCCUGGUCCAGCACCGACGUUCAGGCACGAAAGCGUGGGGAGCAAACAGG